CAGUAGCCGCGGGAAUACGAAGGGGGCUAGCGUUGUUCGGAAUUACUGGGCGUAAAGCGCACGUAGGCGGAUAUUUAAGUCAGGGGUGAAAUCCCAGAGCUCAACUCUGGAACUGCCUUUGAUACUGGGUAUCUUGAGUAUGGAAGAGGUGAGUGGAAUUCCGAGUGUAGAGGUGAAAUUCGUAGAUAUUCGGAGGAACACCAGUGGCGAAGGCGGCUAACUGGUCCAUAACUGACGCUGAGGUGCGAAAGCGUGGGGAGCAAACAGGAUUAGAUACCCCUGUAGUCCCUGUCUCUUAUAC
rnacentral:rRNA from 1 species